AUACUCUUUAGUAUUACUAUUUCUAGGUUUCCCUAAUUAAUAAUAUUAAUUACUGCGAAUAAAAUAAAUUUAUUUAUUAUUAAAAUAAAUAAAAAUUCACACAAAAAUUUACAUAUAAAUUAAACUAAUAAUAAAUUUACAAGCCAAAAUAAAACUUUAU
rnacentral:rRNA from 1 species